rnacentral:rRNA from 1 species
AAAAAAGCCACUAAGCUUCAGUCUAGAGUUGACCGUACCGCAAACCGACACAGGUGGGCAGGAUGAAAAUUCUAAGGCGCUUGAGAGAACUCAGGAGAAGGAACUCGGCAAAUUAACACCGUAACUUCGGGAGAAGGUGUGCCCCGGUAGCGUGUAGAGACUUGCUCUCGAAGCGCGAUGGGGUUGCAGUGAAAUGGUGGCUGCGACUGUUUAAUAAAAACACAGCACUCUGCAAACACGAAAGUGGACGUAUAGGGUGUGACGCCUGCCCGGUGCCGGAAGGUUAAGUGAUGGGGUGCAAGCUCUUGAUCGAAGCCCCGGUAAACGGCGGCCGUAACAAUAACGGUCCUAAGGUAGCGAAAUUCCUUGUCGGGUAAGUUCCGACCUGCACGAAUGGCGUAACGAUGGCCACACUGUCUCCUCCUGGGACUCAGCGAAGUUGAAAUGUUUGUGAAGAUGCAAUCUACCCGCGGCUAGACGGAAAGACCCCAUGAACCUUUACUGUAGCUUUGCAUUGGACUUUGAACCGGUUUGUGUAGGAUAGGUGGGAGACUGUGGAGCCGGGACGCUAGUUUCGGUGGAGUCAACCUUGAAAUACCACCCUGAUUUGUUUGAGGUUCUAACCUUGGUCCGUGAAUCCGGAUCGGGGACCGUGCAUGGUAGGCAGUUUGACUGGGGCGGUCUCCUCCCAAAAGGUAACGGAGGAGUACGAAGGUACGCUUAGGGCGGUCGGACAUCGCCCACAAAGUGCAAUGGCAAAAGCGUGCUUGACUGCGAGACCCACAAGUCGAGCAGGUACGAAAGUAGGUCAUAGUGAUCCGGUGGUUCUGUAUGGAAGGGCCAUCGCUCAACGGAUAAAAGGUACUCUGGGGAUAACAGGCUAAUUCCUCCCAAGAGUUCAUAUCGACGGGGGAGUUUGGCACCUCGAUGUCGGCUCAUCACAUCCUGGGGCUGUAGUCGGUCCCAAGGGUAUGGCUGUUCGCCAUUUAAAGUGGUACGUGAGCUGGGUUUAAAACGUCGUGAGACAGUUUGGUCCCUAUCUGCCGUGGGCGCUGGAAAUUUGAAGGGGGCUGCUCCUAGUACGAGAGGACCGGAGUGGACGAACCUCUGGUGUACCGGUUAUGACGCCAGUCGUAUCGCCGGGUAGCUAAGUUCGGAAGAGAUAAACGCUGAAAGCAUCUAAGCGUGAAACUCGCCUUAAGAUAAGACUUCCCGGAGUCUUGAACUCCCUGAAGGGUCGUCGAAGACCACGACGUUGAUAGGUCAGGUGUGGAAGCGCAGCAAUGCGUUAAGCUAACUGAUACUAAUUG